GAUGAACGCUAGCGGCAGGCUUAACACAUGCAAGUCGAGGGGCAGCAUGACGGAACCUUCGGGUUUUGUUGAUGGCGACCGGCGCAAGGGUGCGUAACGCGUGAGCAACUUGCCCGUUUCAGGGGGAUAACCGGUGGAAACGCCGACUAAUACCCCAUGGCAUCAUAUUGAGGCAUCUUUAUAUGAUUAAAGAAUUUCGGAAACGGAUAGGCUCGCGUGACUAUUAGCUAGAUGGCGGGGUAACGGCCCACCAUGGCGACGAUGUCGUAGGGGUUCUGAGAGGAACGGUCCCCCACACGUGGAACUGAGACACGGUCCAGACUCCGUACGGGAGCAGCAGUGA
rnacentral:rRNA from 1 species